AUAUUCUUUCACAGGCAAGCAAGGACCCAGGGCUGUGCUCAAGCUGGGCUACAAGGGCUGGACCAGGGUCUGGGGUUGGGCAUAGGUUGGGCUGACUUGCAGUUGCUGGCCUUGGAGAAAGGAGAAGCAAAGCCACUGUGAUUGGAGGAAGGAGAUUCAGGAAGCAAGGACAGCUCUUAGUGUCAGUUCCAAUGGUUGGGUAUGAGAAAGAGGGAGUAAAAACUGGGGCUUCAAGAAGGCAGGGACUAUAGUUGUAUUUCCUCCCAGUGUAUUCACAGUGCAUCUGGUUCACCAAAGACUCUCAAGGUGACUUCAUCCAUGGCGGCUGUGUGGCAGCGAGCUACUUGCGCAUCUCUUCUGUUCCGUGAGGUCAUGUUGGCAGCUUGAAAUUGAUCAAGUGGGAAGCAUUUACAUCACAGAAAUUGAUGUUUAAAGGAGAUGAUAAAAAUGCUGCAACCCAGAUAAUGAUCACCUUACUCUUCAAAAAUACUGCCCAAGUUCUUUGUUCAAGAUGCCAAGAACCUGGAUACCCUCCACUGGUAACAAAUAUGACUUUGUUUUUAGCAAGCAACUUUGCAGUGUAAUUAAGUUAAGGAUCUUGAGAUGAGAUCAUCUUGGAAUAUCUGGGUGGGCCCUAAAUCCAAUGACAAGUGUCCUCAUAGGAAGGGAAGAUACACACAGAGGAGAAGGUGGUGUGAAGAUGGAAGCCAAGACUGUUGAUACCAGUUGGAGAGCACCAAGAACUACCCGCAGCCACUGAAAGCUAGGAGAGAGGCAUAGGACUGUCUCCUUCAGACCCUCCAGAAAGACCAAACCUGCCCGUGCCUUGAUUUCAGACUUUUGGCCUCCCACAUUGUGAGAGAAUAAAAUUUUGUUUUUGAAGCCAU
rnacentral:lncRNA from 1 species